rnacentral:pre_miRNA from 1 species
AGGGGAAGCGCUGGAUCUUGGGCUGUGUCCUCCAGCGCCCUGGGCUCCCGGGCCUGCACCACUGGAAUCACGCUUCUGGGGCUGUGCCACCCCCU